CAGUAGCCGCGGUAAUACGUAGGUGGCAAGCGUUGUCCGGAAUUAUUGGGCGUAAAGGGCUCGCAGGCGGUUUCUUAAGUCUGAUGUGAAAGCCCCCGGCUCAACCAGGGGAGGGUCAUUGGAAACUGGGAAACUUGAGUGCAGAAGAGGAGAGUGGAAUUCCACGUGUAGCGGUGAAAUGCGUAGAGAUGUGGAGGAACACCAGUGGCGAAGGCGACUCUCUGGUCUGUAACUGACGCUGAGGAGCGAAAGCGUGGGGAGCGAACAGGAUUAGAUACCCCCGUAGUCCCUGUCUCUUAUA
rnacentral:rRNA from 1 species